AGUGAACGCUGGCGGCGUGCCUAAUACAUGCAAGUCGAACGGAGUGGCGCACGGGUGGGUAAUAUAUAGCUAACUUGCUCAUUACUAGGGGACAACAGUUGGAAACGACUGCUAAUACCUCAUAGUAAUGGAUAGGGCUAUAUCGUAUCAGCUAGUUGGUAGGGUAACGGCUUACCAAGGCUAUGACGCGUAACUGGUCUGAGAGGAUGAUCAGUCACACUGGAACUGAGACACGGGCCAGGAUCCUACGGGAGGCAGCAGUAGGGAAUAUUGCUCAAGGGGGGAAAGCCUGAAGCAGCAACGCCGCGUGGAGGAUGACAAUUUUCGGAGCAUAAACUCAUUUUCUUGGGAAAGCGGUACCCAAGGAAUAAGCACCGGCUAACUCCGUGCCAGCAGCCGCGGUAAUAC
rnacentral:rRNA from 1 species